rnacentral:misc_RNA from 1 species
UCUCCGUAGGUGAACCUGCGGAGGGAUCAUUACUGAGUUUUUAACUCUCCAAACCAUGUGAACUUACCACUGUUGCCUCGGUGGUCGGUGCUGGAAACAGUGCUGCCACCGGUGGACUACUAAACUCUUAUGUCUUUAGUGGUUUUCUCCUCUGAGUGACACAUAAACAAAUAAAUAAAAACUUUCAACAACGGAUCUCUUGGUUCUG